GAUGAACUCUGGCGGCGUGCUUAACACAUGCAAGUCGAACGGGAAAUAUUUCAUUGAGACUUCGGUGGAUUUGAUCUAUUUCUAGUGGCGGACGGGUGAGUAACGCGUGGGUAACCUGCCUUAUACAGGGGGAUAACAGUCAGAAAUGGCUGCUAAUACCGCAUAAGCGCACAGAGCUGCAUGGCUCAGUGUGAAAAACUCCGGUGGUAUAAGAUGGACCCGCGUUGGAUUAGCUUGUUGGUGGGGUAACGGCCCACCAAGGCGACGAUCCAUAGCCGGCCUGAGAGGGUGAACGGCCACAUUGGGACUGAGACACGGCCUAGACUCCUACGGGAGGCAGCAGUGGGGAAUAUUGCACAAUGGGGGAAACCCUGAUGCAGCGACGCCGCGUGAAGGAAGAAGUAUCUCGGUAUGUAAACUUCUAUCAGCAGGGAAGAUAGUGACAGUACCUGACUAAGAAGCCCCGGCUAACUACGUGCCAGCAGCCGCGGUAAUACGUAGGGGGCAAGCGUUAUCCGGAUUCACUGGGUGUAAAGGGAGCGUAGACGGUGUGGCAAGUCUGAUGUGAAAGGCAUGGGCUCAACCUGUGGACUGCAUUGGAAACUGUCAUACUUGAGUGCCGGAGGGGUAAGCGGAAUUCCUAGUGUAGCGGUGAAAUGCGUAGAUAUUAGGAGGAACACCAGUGGCGAAGGCGGCUUACUGGACGGUAACUGACGUCGAGGCUCGAAAGCGUGGGGAGCAAACAGGAUUAGAUACCCUGGUAGUCCACGCCGUAAACGA
rnacentral:rRNA from 1 species